GUAGUUGCACUCCUCGCCUCAUGAGGUAAAAGGAGAGGAGUGCAGGCAGGGGCUCUGGCUGCUGGAAAUGCACUAAACUUUCCCUUGUGAUGCCUGUUCGUUUAAGUCACUGAGUCACUGGGAUAGUAGUACUUUGCGCUAAAUACCUUGGCUCGGCGGGGUAACCGCGUCUGGUUGUUAAGGGAGGUGCCGUUCCGUCCCUCUGCCUGCCCCGCUGCCUGCCCCGCUGCCGGCUGACUGGUCGAGUCCCGAUAUGGCCGCCCCCCGUCCUUGUACCUCACAAAGAAGCCGCCUCCUCUCCGUCCCUGGGUGCGAUGAAUCUGCUCGUCCUCAAGCUGGCAUCCCUGCCUCUCAGCGUCGCGGCUGCCCCGACGAGAACCGCCGGCUCCCUGCUGCACACUGCUCCUUUCCCUACGCCAGGAUCCCGUUCUUCUCAAUAGCGGGUCUAAACCCCACAUUUACUACAAGAUGUCCUCUGAGGAAACCGCUGAGGUUAAACAGGCGGAGAAACGCGUAAGAACUGUUGGAAACACCAUCUAAAGUACUACCACUGGCCGGUUUAUGUAUGCCACAUAAGGGAGACUGACGGGACGAUUACUCCAGAGAAGGCUUCUUUAAAAAGGGAAAGCACUGGGAGCCAAGAGAUGCCGUAGCAGGAUCCAUAUGUGAGUGGCUUACUGAUAUUGGGGACAACUUCUUUUCCCAUACUGCACUUUGUUCCUGGCCAGGAUUUGGGACACAAAAAGCUGUAUGUACUGAAAAGAACACAUUUAUUUAAGGACAGCUCUACAUAAUGGAUUCCACUAUAAAGUGCUAGAAAGUCUCUACAAUAAUGACGGCUUCUUAAACUAGGGAUGAAAUGUUUAUGAAUUUAUAUUAUAUGUACAGUAUAUAUAUUUUUUAUAUGUGUGUACAGACCAGUCUGGUACUGUUUGGUUAUUUUAAUGUGUUAGAGUCAAUUAAAUGUCUCUCUUAUCUAAGCGCUGUCUUAAUUGUCUACUUGCUGUGUGGUAAUAAGGGUGGAGUAUUUCCCUUUAAAGUGACGGCAGCUAACAGGAGAGAUUAGUAAUACCUAUAAGCGCCAAGUCUUAUAACAUUUAUUUGAUUAAAAACAACAAGCUCAACAGGUUGAUGGAUUCAGAUAUCUCACCAUUAAUGUGAUGUGCCUGUUCCAGCCUUAAGGACCCCAUACACUAGAACUAUAUGUCUAGAGGCUGAAGUCGGAGGCGAUUUCCCUUGAACUCUCCCCCGGGAGCUUCCCGGGAGUGGUUCCAUACGAUUCCAAACGAUUUGGUACAUUUUGCAUGCGAUAUAUCGUAUGCGAUCCCAGCCAUGCCUGCGGGAACCAAUAUAUCACGAGUGCAGCACUAGCGAUCUAGGGGAUCCGAUCCGACACUCACAGGAACGCUCAUCGGAUCGGAUCCACAGCCAAAAUGCCCGAUUUCCCCCAAUAUAUUAGCCCGAAUUGGCCUGAAAUCGGGCAUUAUCAUUCUAGUAUAUGGGGCCCUUUACACCUAACUUUCAGAUGCUGGCAGAACAUCUGGUCACCCAGAAGUCACAUGGAAUUGUCAGAUUUCUUUGUUAUAGUUUACAAUAUUUGUUUUCUCUUCCAUUAAAAUACAUAUUAUUGUGUU